rnacentral:lncRNA from 10 species
CCAACCACCAGGGCAGUGUUUCUCAAGUUCCAUGGAUUGACUGGAAUCAGCUGAGCAGUUCUCACUUGGGGCCUCUUAAGGAGCUGGCGUCAUCUGAAGGCUUCACAUCCUAGAUGGCUUCUUUCUUCACAUGGCUGCUAUCCAGCUGCAGCAGUCUUCACAUCCUUGUCUGCACCUGCUUUCUUCUAUCACAGUCCUUGCACACACUCGCCCUGCCCGAGGAAUGCUUUCUCCUAGGGAAAUCCAAUUCAUCCAUCUGUCUGGGAGGAAAUUUAAUCUCUCUUUAACCCUCAUAAAUUCGUACUUGGGACAGACUCCUGUUAGCAACAGAUUAACAAGGGAAAAACAAGCAAGUUUAUUAACAUGUGCAGUGCACAUCACAUGGGAGAAACUUCAAUAAAAGGUGUCAACCUAACGUAACCACAAGGCUCAGGAUCCAGUUCAAAUGAAUUGAUUUAAGUAAAAAGUGUGAGGGUGGCCAUCCCAGGACACAUGGACAGCAAAGAAUAGUGACUGCUGUUCUCGGUGUAGGGAAAAGUGAAGAUCAUUUAUACCGACAAAACUGGAGGCGCUGAACAGAAUUACAACAUUUUCCAUCCAAAGGCUAACACAGAGAUAUAAGAUUGACUGGCUACUCUUAAUUACAUUUUAAGGAGUUUGCUUAAUAUUCUGUUGAGAAGAGGUAACAGUCACAAGGGUCUCUGUCAUUUAGUCUAGGUUUGAAUGAAGAACAGAAAACCUAGUAAAAUAUAACUCUCAACACAAAAGUCAGGAAGAAACAGCCAUGCAUCAGAGAAGAAAAACAAGCAUGUUAUAUGACUCCGUUUUCAAGGCUUAACUUUUCCCUUUGGCAUAAUCAAUUUUGAAGGUCCUGAAAUUUUCUGUUCGCAAAGGUAACUCCAAGCAGUGGCUUCGAACUCUGGCUUAUAUGGUAUCUUCAACAAAGAACAAUAAAUUUUAGAGAAGUGACAAGACAAAGGAAAGCAGUUGUAGGUUUCCAGAGGUGGGAAACUGUGGGAAGGCAAAUAUAUGGGAGUAAAGUCAUUGAGUAAGGUUUGUUUGCAGAUUACUCCUGUGCCAUAUCUGAGUGAACAACAGCUGUUCCCAGUAAAGAAGAAUUUAUAUCCUGUCUUUGGAAGAAAAAGCAGGGGAGGAUAGAAAGAGCUUUCCCUCUGUUUGCUGCUUCUU